AGCGGAGGAAAAGAAACCAACCGGGAUUGCCUCAGUAACGGCGAGUGAAGCGGCAAGAGCUCAAAUUUGAAAGCUGGCUCCUUCGGAGUCCGCAUUGUAAUUUGCAGAGGAUGCUUUGGGUGCGGCCCCCGUCUAAGUGCCCUGGAACGGGCCGUCAGAGAGGGUGAGAAUCCCGUCUUGGGCGGGGUGUCCGUGCCCGUGUAAAGCUCCUUCGACGAGUCGAGUUGUUUGGGAAUGCAGCUCUAAAUGGGUGGUAAAUUUCAUCUAAAGCUAAAUACUGGCCGGAGACCGAUAGCGCACAAGUAGAGUGAUCGAAAGAUGAAAAGCACUUUGAAAAGAGAGUUAAACAGCACGUGAAAUUGUUGAAAGGGAAGCGCUUGCGACCAGACUCGCCCGCGGGGUUCAGCCGGCAUUCGUGCCGGUGUACUUCCCCGUGGGCGGGCCAGCGUCGGUUUGGGCGGCCGGUCAAAGGCCCCUGGAAUGUAGUGCCCUCCGGGGCACCUUAUAGCCAGGGGUGCAAUGCGGCCAGCCUGGACCGAGGAACGCGCUUCGGCACGGACGCUGGCAUAAUGGUCGUAAACGACCCGUCUUGAA
rnacentral:rRNA from 1 species